rnacentral:rRNA from 1 species
AUUGAACGCUGGCGGCAGGCCUAACACAUGCAAGUCGAGCGAGCGGCGGACGGGUGAGUAAUGUCUGGGAAACUGCCUGAUGGAGAGGAAUAAAUACUGGAAACGGUAGCUAAUACCGCAUACCAUCAGAUGUGCCCAGAUUGGAUUAGCUAGUAGGUGGGGUAACGGCUCACCUAGGCGACGAUCCCUCGCUGGUCUGAGAGGAUGACCAGCCACACUGGAACUGAGACACGGUCCAGAAUCCUACGGGAGGCAGCAGUGGGGAAUAUUGGACAAUGGGCGCAAGCCUGAUGCAGCCAUGCCGCGUGUGUGAAGAAGGCCUUCGGGUUGUAAAGCACUUUCAGCGGGGAGGCGGUACCCGCAGAAGAAGCACCGGCUAACUCCGUGCCAGCAGCCGCGGUAAUAC